UACGGGGGGGGCAAGCGUUGUUCGGAAUUACUGGGCGUAAAGGGCUCGUAGGCGGCCAACUAAGUCAGACGUGAAAUCCCUCGGCUUAACCGGGGAACUGCGUCUGAUACUGGAUGGCUUGAGGUUGGGAGAGGGAUGCGGAAUUCCAGGUGUAGCGGUGAAAUGCGUAGAUAUCUGGAGGAACACCGGUGGCGAAGGCGGCGUUCUGGACUGCAACUGACACUGAAAAACGAAAGCCAGGGGAGCAAACGGG
rnacentral:rRNA from 1 species